AAGUCGUAACAAGGUUUCCGUAGGUGAACCUGCGGAAGGAUCAUUAACACGUAUCCAACGUUAAACCCCCCGUGCAUCUUUAGAGAGCUCUUGUAAGCCCAUUAUGAUAGCAAUCCUGGUAAAUCAGUGGCGAAAGUAGUCUUUGAUUCAGGACCUCUGUCUGGUGAGAACCUAGCGGUAAGCGAGCAAUUGAGCCUUUUAUCGUCAGUCUGGAGUCCUGGCCGGGCGAAUGAAAGUGUCGCUGGACGGUUUCUAGGGUAAGGCUUCGCCAUCACUGGAGGCUCAACACGGGCCGGUGGACAGACUGCAGGGUCCCCAUGCCCCUUUAUGACGACCAAGUUAAAUAAGGCAAGUGCGCCGUGGUAGAGGAAAACGUACAACUGUUAACAAUGGAUAUCUUGGUUCUC
rnacentral:misc_RNA from 1 species